UAGCUAGUUGGUGAGGUAAAGGCUCACCAAGGCGACGAUCUGUAGCGGGUCUGAGAGGAUGAUCCGCCACACUGGAACUGAGACACGGUCCAGACUCCUACGGGAGGCAGCAGUGGGGAAUUUUGGACAAUGGGGGCAACCCUGAUCCAGCCAUGCCGCGUGAGUGAAGAAGGCCUUCGGGUUGUAAAGCUCUUUCAGCCGGGAAGAAAAUGCAUGGGUUAAUACCCUGUGCAGAUGACGGUACCGGAAUAAGAAGCACCGGCUAACUACGUGCCAGCAGCCGCGGUAAUACGUAGGGUGCGAGCGUUAAUCGGAAUUACUGGGCGUAAAGCGUGCGCAGGCGGUUUUGUAAGACAGGCGUGAAAUCCCCGGGCUUAACCUGGGAACUGCGUUUGUGACUGCAAGGCUAGAGUACGGCAGAGGGGGGUGGAAUUCCACGUGUAGCAGUGAAAUGCGUAGAGAUGUGGAGGAACACCAAUGGCGAAGGCAGCCCCCUGGGUCGAUACUGACGCUCAUGCACGAAAGCGUGGGUAGCAAACAGGAUUAGAUACCCUGGUAGUCCACGCCCUAAACGAUGUCAACUAGGUGUUGGGAGGGUAAAACCUUUUAGUACCGUAGCUAACGCGAGAAGUUGACCGCCUGGGGAGUACGGCCGCAAGGUUAAAACUCAAAGGAAUUGACGGGGACCCGCACAAGCGGUGGAUGAUGUGGAUUAAUUCGAUGCAACGCGAAAAACCUUACCUACCCUUGACAUGUCAGGAACUUUCCAGAGAUGGAUUGGUGCUCGAAAGAGAACCUGAACACAGGUGCUGCAUGGCUGUCGUCAGCUCGUGUCGUGAGAUGUUGGGUUAAGUCCCGCAACGAGCGCAACCCUUGUCGUUAAUUGCCAUCAUUCAGUUGGGCACUUUAACGAGACUGCCGGUGACAAACCGGAGGAAGGUGGGGAUGACGUCAAGUCCUCAUGGCCCUUAUGGGUAGGGCUUCACACGUCAUACAAUGGUCGGUACAAAGGGUCGCCAACCCGCGAGGGGGAGCCAAUCCCAUAAAGCCGAUCGUAGUCCGGAUUGUAGGCUGCAACUCGCCUGCAUGAAGUCGGAAUCGCUAGUAAUCGUGGAUCAGCAUGUCACGGUGAAUACGUUCCCGGGUCUUGUACACACCGCCCGUCACACCAUGGGAGCGGGUUCCGCCAGAAGUAGGUAGCCUAACCGCAAGGGGGGCGCUUACCACGGCGGGGUUCGUGACUGGGGUGAAGUCGUAACAAGGUAGCCGUAGGGGAACCUGCGGCUG
rnacentral:rRNA from 1 species